AGCGGGAGGAAAAUCGGAGAGAAUGAGUGGUGGCUAAUAAGCAGGGAAAAGAGUAGAAAAGUUGAUUUUGAAGUUGAAAAACGUAACUUACCUGGUUGGGAACUGACGGGGAUUUUAUGAGAACUAUGCCACACCGGUUUUAGUCAGUUUUUUGGUGUUGAAGGUCGGUCGGAGCGAGGAUUGGUCUGCAGUGUGCAGGCGUGCACGUGCAUAGACGGGAUUCAAGAUGGCGAGCCAGACCCAGACCUUCAAUUCAUCUUCUCCAUCGCACCAGUGAGGAAAUCCCCUGUGUAUGGUGACUCGCUUCCAGAGUGAACCUACAACUGGUCCAGUGGCCCAGUAAGUGGUGCGAUACCGGUGCUACAACAGCCCUCUUCAGAUCACCCCACAGAUGUUCAAUUGGAUUCAGGUGUCUGUGUUCCCAAGGAAUUUCGGGGGAGACCAGAUAUGCAUUAUUGCUUUAAAGAAAAAAAACCCCAGAUGGAGGAUUCACAGAAUCAGGAGCUAACAAGCGUGAAGGGAAUUUUAAGUUGAGUUGGAAUUUUGCAACCAUUUAUACGCCACUCAGAUUUUUAAGUAAUUCUGUACUUGUGUAUGUGCCUCUGUUCCCAGAUAUGGAUGUCGUACACCACAUGAAUGUGCACUAGAUUACCUCAAAACUGUUUACCAUGGUGCAUGGGGCUUUAUUACACAAUAAUCUUAUAAUUAUUAUAAACUGUAUGAAACCCAACCAGAAACCCAAGACAGAAUUUCCCUCUUUGUCUCUUCUCUCUACCAGUCUAUCUGUCUGUCUGUCUGUCAGUCUCCUCUCUCUCGCUUCAGAGAAAUUUAAAGGUGUGGCAUUUGGUGGGGCAUUUGGUGCGUUCCGGGGCUAGUAUGUGUGGGAAGAUUACAAAGAGGCGCUUUGUGAGAGGAUGCAGCUGCUGAAAUCCGACUAGAUCCAGCUGAAGAGAGAAUGGAGCAGGAAAUAAACCUAUGUGAAACCUACAGUCGGGAAACUAUACGACGAAGUAAUCGUGAUCACAUACCGACAAUAUGAGCGCGACAACUAACUCUGCGAGCUACGACAACUUCAAUGUGUUUUAUUUGGACGUGGCUCGGGUACCCACCAUUUCCCAAGAGGCUUCGUGGUCAUCAACACACUGAUGAGCUCCUAGCAAGGCAGCUCCUAGCAAGAUGGUGAACAGAACGACUGAAGUUGGGGAGAGAAAAUGCAGCACCAUUCAUCUACGUGUUUACCUCUCUGGAGAAGACAAUGGAUGUUACAGUUUUAAGAGCUGUCAGGAAUACUUAUUCUUUACCACCACAGUGCUCUAAGCCUGCUUCUCGAUUUAGAUUUAUUAUAGAAGAGCUCUGCUUCUGAGUUACAUUUCACCCUUUGAUAGGUGGGGUUAGCGACGGGGGUCUGUGGGGUACUGGGUGUUGUAACGUAUAUGGACAAUUAUUUGAAUGUGUGAAACUCGCGUCUCUAAAACUGCAUAAAGCGCUGUGCACUUUGAGUAACUAAAUUUGCACAAGAGGUUGGCUUCUCAUAAAAGUGAAACAAUAAAUGGGGCAAGGGAAUUACAAUAAUAUGUCAAUAUUACAGAACAUUUUAGGCAACAGUAGAUGGCUAUGCAUUACUUCAGUGAUCAUAUUUUUGGAUUAUUAAAUAAGAUUGUGCUCUGUGUUAUCGGGCCAUCUUUAUGUUGUAUUAGAAAGAUCAAUGUUUCCCAAUUUAUUGUGAAAUAAUCAUUUUAGUGACAUAUGAGCAGCAUCCCGGGAAUUUACCUGGUCUAUAGGACCAUAUAAGAUACAUGUAUGUUUUAAAUGAAUCAGAUUAUGUAUGAACUAACCUUGUUGUCUUGAAAGCGUCGGAUGGAUCAGGGUCUUGAUCUGGGCCAAGAAAAGAGCAACUGUAAGACGUCUAUUUGUACAUUGACACAGAUACUGAGAGUAGUAUGGUUAUCAUGCUAGUAUACGCCAGGGAAUGUCAGUAAAGAUGUCAGCUUGUCAGCAGGCCCUCUACUGCAGUGUUGACAAGAACUCUCCGAUUGCAAUUCAGAGAAUGUUAUGAAGUAGGUUUACAAAGGGUUAUCACAGAAUCAGGAAUGACCUAUGAUGUUUAUAAUGAAUCAUGAAUGACCUAUGAUGUAUAUAAUGAUUUUUAGACCUGUAUACAGUCUCUACAUGUAAGCUACAUGUUAAAAAUGUAUAUUAUG
ensembl:lncRNA